AACGAACGCUGGCGGCAUGCCUAACACAUGCAAGUCGAACGAGACCAUCGGGACUAGUGGCGCUUGGGUGUGUCACGUGUGGGAACCUGCACUUAGGCUCGGAAUAAUUCUUCGUAAGGGGUGCUAAUAUAGGAUAACGUACUCGGACCAAAGAUUGAUCGUGGUUGUGUGGGCCAGCGUUGGUUUGCCUUGUCGGUAGGGUAAAAGCCUAUCACGGCGAGGUUCCAUAGCUGGUCAGAGAGGCAGAGCAGCCACACUGAGGCUGUGACGCGGCACAGAAUCCUACGGGAGGCAGCAGUGGGUAAUACUGGACAAUGGGGGAAGGCCUGAUCCAGCAAGGCCGCGUGAGUGAUGUAGUCCGGAGAGAUAUAAAGCUCUUUUACCCGGGAUGAUAAUGACAGUACCGAAAGAAUAAGCUCCGGCUAACUCCGUG
rnacentral:rRNA from 1 species